GGAGAAUCACUGAGAGCUGCUACCG
rnacentral:piRNA from 1 species